rnacentral:rRNA from 1 species
CCUACGGGUCGCAGCAGUGGGGAAUAUUGGACAAUGGGCGAAAGCCUGAUCCAGCAAUGCCGCGUGUGUGAAGAAGGUCUUCGGAUUGUAAAGCACUUUCGACGGGGACGAUGAUGACGGUACCCGUAGAAGAGGCCCGGCUAACUUCGUGCCAGCAGCCGCGGUAAUACGAAGGGGGCUAGCGUUGCUAGGAAUGACUGGGCGUAAAGGGCGCGUAGGCGGCUUAUGCAGUCAGAUGUGAAAUUCCCGGGCUUAACCUGGGAACUGCAUUUGAGACGCAUAGACUAGAGGUCGAGAGAGGGUUGUGGAAUUCCCAGUGUAGAGGUGAAAUUCGUAAAUAUUGGGAAGAACACCGGUGGCGAAGGCGGCAACCUGGCUCGAUACUGACGCUGAGGCGCGAAAGCGUGGGGAGCAAACAGGAUUAGAUACCCCCGUAGUC